GGACCGCUGCAGCCGGGGCAGGGGGCAGGGCGAAGUCCCGGGAGCUGGGGAGGAGUGGUCUGCAGGAAGUGGCAGGGCUCCUGAAGAAGAGCAUAGAGCAGGAAGCAACCUCCUGGCAGCGGAGGUUGGUAGACCGUGGAAGGAAACAUGGCAUUGGGGCCCGGACUCGGAAGCAAGGUGAUGGGGACGCAGAGAAAGAGGGGUUAGGCUGGCUGAAGACUGUGUCUUGAGAGCAGCAGGACGGGUGGAAACGGCUUGUGGACCACACACCACAGGUGUUCAGGAAGAGGGGAGGUGGCCGGCAACAGCAGAUGCACCUGGGACCUGGGACCUGGGAGCCAUGCGAUGCUACGGGAGCCAGAGAGUGAGAAACCGGAGAGAUGAGCGGCAGAGACUUGGGCUCCUGGCUGAAGACCUACUGUGAAGGUAUGUGGAGUUGACUGGCUCUGGGAAAAAGCUGUUGGCUAGUGGAGGCGACAAAGGGAGACUUCUGGGCACUUCGCAGAGCUGCAGUCCUAGCUGGUCGGAGGAUCACGACUACUUGGCCUAAGACCCGAAGAGACCCCAGGGCAGAAGCCAUUUCCUGCCUACCCCAAAUGAUGGUGACUCCAACUUCCCCUCACAUCUGGCGAUGAUCUGCCUCAGUUUCGAAAGCAAGCCAAAGGGGUCUCUCACUGAAUCUGGAACUCACUGCUGAGCAAGACUAGUUGGCCAGUGACCCCAGUGGACCCUUCUGUCCCUGCCUCUGCAGAGCUGGGACUACAGGCAUAUACCACCAUGCCCUGCUCUACAUGGGCGCCUGGAACAUGCCUGUGCGACAGGGACUUUACUAACAGCCCUGGCCUCGGGCUCUUAGCCAGGCAGCUGUCUUAGUUCAGAGAAUGAGGACAAGGGGACCGUCCCGGUGUUUGCAGUGACAGUGCAGGCUCCUGAGUGAGGUGGACAAGCCACUUCAGCCAUCAGCACGGCUCUGGCCCCUGCGCACUUGCCUGGGUAGUAGCGGCAGCAGGCUGCAGGUAGUCGCUGGGACUGACGGCAGCAGUGGCAGCCAUGCUCAUCUGUGGAUCUGCUGGGAGGAAGAUGGAGCAGUACGUAAGACCCCUGGAGAGGACCCCAGGCCCCUUGCCCCGGCUUUUCUUUUGGCCUCUCUUGCUGUUUCUCUGAGAAGUUUAACAGCUCGAGCAUCACAGCCCGUGCCUGUCAGGGGCGACGUCUCCUUUGCUCACAAUCUAUUUGGGCCAGGCCUGCCUUCACCACAUUGUCCCCACAGCUGGGACACUCCAGGACAGAAAGAAGGCAGUCUGUCUCAAGACUGGCUGUGGCUCCUGAAAUACUUCUUUAGUCUAAGACCACCGUAAGUGCUCUCCUGUGGUCACCAAGAGCUUUAUGUGGCCCCUGGGCUGCGACCUGGUCCAUCAAAACAGAACCAUUUCUCUGCAGAACUACAGACUUCUACUCUGGAAAGAGAGAGAGAAGGGAAAAGAGCAGCACUUCCAGCUGGUGUGUGGAAAGGAAAGUGGUUAAGAAGAGGGCACACCCGUAACCGUAGUUCUCUGCGCAGCCUCAUUUAAUGUGGAAGCUCGUGUUUAAAAUGUGUAAUGCUUACCUCUCCCUCCAUGCUACUCAAAGCACUGCUAAGUGGGAGACGAGGGCGCAGAGGGACUCGUGGAGGUAAAACUUCCCUAAGUCUCUAGGCUGACGUCAGCAGAGAUCGAUGAUGCAAGCAUAGACCAGUACACCUCAGCCCUAAGGAAAAGUCCGGAGGGGUUGGACAAAGCAGCAGGAGGAAGGAGUAUCCGGUGACAGAGGGACCAGAACAGAACCCCAAGACUGACAGAAAAGCACCUCGCUUCCAGACUCUCACCAUCACCUUCCCCCUCCUCGGCUAAACUUGGUCCCCUCCACGUCUCCGUCCAGCCCAUUCUCGGCGGGCUCGUCUACCCAGGUCACCAGAGACCCCUUGGCUUCUACAGCAACAAACCUCUCGAUGGUUGCCUCCCCUUGUAAACUCCCGUGGGCUCCUCUUCCUUUGCCACCACUUAAAUGCAGGCAUUCUUCAACAAGGGUCCCUCCUCCUCACCCAGGAUCCCUUCCUUGGGGGUCAGUGUCCACUUACAGAGCUUCAGACAGUGUCGCAGAGGUUGACACUCCCAGGUAUGGGUCAGCUCCGCCCCCUAUGGGCCUUCAUCAGGCCAGCCAGACACUCCCAACCUGAGCGUUCCCUCCAGGCUUGUUCUUCUUUCUCCUCCCCAGCCUCCACAGGCCUGCCUGCCUGUAAGAAGCAGGGGCUUAUCUCCGCUGCCCUUCCCUUGCUCAGGGCUUUUCUGUCGUUUCAAGCAAAUGCUUUGACAGCCAUCUUGUAACACGUAUAGCCUGUCCAUGGGGUCCUUUUCCGGACUGAGAUGAAGUCAAGUCCUUUGCUAGCAUUCAGCACCCCUUACAGCGAUCGUGGGCCUAAGGUAUGGGGGCAAGGCCCUGCUCUUCAGUAAGCAGGGUCUGUACCCAGCUGCUGCUCCCAGACCCCGGUACAGGGGCAACUGCAGUUCCUGGGGAGAGGGGAAGAGCACAGGAAUCUUUGGAAUGUAGCUUCUUUCUGGCAGGUCCACUCACAGCAGAGCCCUGCACAUCCACCUCCUGCUGGGGAGCUAGGUCCUGGGGACUCCUCUCCUCCAUAGAAGUCUCCUCCUCACUAGUCCCAUGGCCCUGGUCCUGGUUUCAAUCACCCUCCCUCAGCCUGAACUCCCACCCACAGCCUCCAGGGCAGCUUCCAGCCUCUGGCCCUCUCUCCCCCUUUACCUAGUCAGAACACUUCUGGAAGACUACCUCUGUGAACAGAAUCCUACGCAGCCACUCCCCUGGCUACACCCUCCCAGUUUCCGAAAGCUCUUUGGAUAAGUUUAGAGGAACCAAGCACUGAGCCUCCUCCCUGUCCCUCCCUCCUCCCUGUCCCUUCCUCCUCUCUCGCAUUCUUUCUCUUCCUGGGAGCCUGAGGCCUGGGCUCCCCCUUUGGCGUUUCUAACCUCUAGAGGUUGUUUCUGUUACUCUAGAAGCAGAUGACCUUGCCGGGUGCCCGAGUACACUCCCCGUGGCACCCUUGGCAAUGCUGGCCUCACCACAGGGUAGGGAGUGUAGCUCUAUCCCGGGGCAGGGGGUGUCUGUCUUCCUCUGGCAGACUGGCUUGGGACAGCAUGAUCUAACAGGAAGGACCCUAGAGCCCUGGUUAUCAGGCUGUCCCAGGCUAGAAGAGGCUCAAAGUCCACACCAGACCCUAGGCUGUUGGUUUUUGGUUUGUUUUUUUAAACCUUCACAGCUAUGGCUUCCUUGGCCCUCUACUAUGGCACUCCCAGCAGGAACCUCACUCUGUGCAAACAGUCCUUCUGGUGGCUAUUCUGGUCAGUCUGACUGGGCCAGAAGCCAGUAAAGCAGUUUCCAAGGCCAGGCUUCCCCGUUGCUUAGCCUGGAAGAAUUCAGAGCUGGAAAGAGAAAAGCGAACCACGGCUGGUUUUCUAGAACAAAACUGGACCUCCGGGGAAAGCGGCGAGUCAGCCUGUUAAAAGUGGGGGGAGCAAGCUUGGCUGUGCCAGGUCCAAACUGCCAGGACCACUCAACACCCAGCAGCCACAACACAGGACAAGGCCGCUCAUGCCUGGCCCUGCAGAGCAGCUCUGGGGAGAGGAUGCUAAUGCCACAGGCCAAAGGGAAGAACAGAGAUCUUCUCCACCCUCGCUCCGACCCCAACUGAGCAUGACCCUGAGAUGGACACUCGACGUUAUCAAGAAGUUACACUUCCUUUCUGAGCUGCGAUUCCUAACCUCUUCUCUCAAACAAAACUCCUCAGUCACCGUGUGCAGACAGCUCCUUACUUCUGUGGUUCAACUUAACACGUUUUUUUCACAUUUCAAUCAUACUUUAUUGGUAUAUACACGUGUGCACAUUUGUGUAUGGCUACACACCUGCCAUGGCUAACAUGUGGAGGUUCUCUCCUGCCAUCAUGUGGGUCCUGGCGAUUGAACUCAGGUUGUCAGACUAACCCUGACAUGACAGGCACUGGGCAAACACCUCCAAGCACUGAGCUAACCUGUAGGCCUCCAACUGAACUUUCCAACGUGAUAUAGUACAUGAAAGCAUACUCAUAAUUAUGUUUUCUACUUUUAGUAUAGUACUCAAUAAGUUACAUGGUAGUCAACAUUUCAUUAAAAAAAAUUAACUUUGUGCCGGGAGGUGGUGGCAAAGCAACACAGAAACCCUGUCUCAAAAAAAAAAAAAAAAGAAAAGAAAAAAACUUGUGGUAAAUGAUUUUGUCCAACUCUCAGCAAACCCAAGAGGUCUUUCUUUUUUGAGACAGGUUGUACUCAUGUAGUCCAGGUUCAAAUUCACUAUGGCGCCAAGGUUGACCUUGAACUCAUGAUCCUCCUGUCUCCACCUCUAGAGUGCUGUGAAUACGGAUGUGCCUGACUAUGCCCUAGUCCCCCCACCCCCAUACCUUUGUUUUCCAGACAGUGUUUCUCUGUGUAGCCCUGGCUGUCCCGGAACUCACUCUGUAGGCCAGGCUGCCUAGAACUCAGAGAUCCGCCCGCUUCUGCUUUCCCAGUGCUGGGAUUAAAGGCCUGGGCCACAGCUGGAGGAGUUCCUGCAGAUUUCUGCAGAUGUUUUGAUUCCGGGAGUGUUAGCACCUAACUUUGACUACCUGCCUUUUGUGAUUGCUACCUCCUGUCUCCAGAACCUUCUGCUUGAAGUCUUAUCUGAGAGUUUCCUAGGGGUUCAAAGCCCACGCAGAACUUGGUUGUGGGAGGACUGGAUAUCUUUUAACUGAGAAUUUGCAUUUGGCACUGUCCCUUUGGGGGGACUUAGAGGUUUUGGUAUAGGAACUGACUUGUUAAAGGUGUGAAUUGUAUAACAAUAAAAGGUCUUUGCUAAGCUACA